rnacentral:lncRNA from 1 species
UUCCCUAAACAAAACCAAUUUCUUCAUUUCCCUUAGGGUGAAAGAGGUCCAGUAGGUCCCCCAGGUUUACCAGGACUGACUGGGAGCAUAGGACCUCCAGGACCUCCUGGAAUGAAGGGAGAUCCAGGUGAAGUGAUUGGUCUUUUACCUCCUAGUGUGCUAAAAGGUGAUAAAGGCUUUCCUGGCCAACCUGGACUACCUGUAAGUCUGAAUGGUUUGAAUAGCAGUGAGCUUCAAUUAAAAUUUUAUAAAUAUCA